rnacentral:rRNA from 1 species
UACGGAAGGGGGCUAGCGUUGUUCGGAAUUACUGGGCGUAAAGCGCGCGUAGGCGGCUUUGUAAGUUAGAGGUGAAAAGCCCGGAGCUCAACUCCGGAAUUGCCUUUUAAGACUGCAUCGCUAGAAUCAUGGAGAGGUUAGUGGAAUUCCGAGUGUAGAGGUGAAAAUUCGUAGAUAUUCGGAAGAACACCAGUGGCGAAGGCGACUAACUGGACAUGUAUUGACGCUGAGGUGCGAAAGCGUGGGGAGCAAACAGG